rnacentral:rRNA from 1 species
GUCCACGCCGUAAACGAUGUCUACUAGCAGCUCGCCUCGUUAGAGGGGUUUUGCGCAGCUAACGCGUUAAGUAGACCGCCUGGGGAGUACGGCCGCAAGGUUAAAACUCAAAUGAAUUGACGGGGGCCCGCACAAGCGGUGGAGCAUGUGGUUUAAUUCGAUGCAACGCGAAGAACCUUACCAUCCCUUGACAUCCAGAGAAUUUUCUAGAGAUAGAUUAGUGCCUUCGGGAACUCUGAGACAGGUGCUGCAUGGCU